CAAUUAAAAAACUUGUAGUUGGAUAUUCUAUGUGGAGGGUUGGUUUGUGUAUUUGGUGUGCACUUACCCUUCCAUCCUUGUUGUAAGCAACAUGCUUUUGGCCUUAUCUAGCUUACUUGUGAUUUUAUCAGUGUAAAGUUGAAAAAAUUAGAGUGUUCAAGGAAAGUUUUUGCUAUAAAUAUAUUAGCAUGGAAUAAGGGGAUAAGAUCUAAGUCCUAUUACGUUGGCCUUUAGGCCCAUAUUAGAUUAAUUAUUAAUAAGGAUAAUUUCAUAGGUGAAAUUCUUGGAUUUAUGAAAGAUGAACCAAUGUGGAAACAUUUUCCAAUGAGGUUUUCAUUAAUCAAGAACAACUAUUGGGGGUCAAAGAUGAUUAGAUACCAUCUCCAUCUCAACCAUAAAUGAUACCAACCAUGUAUAAGUGGAUGUUUCUCUAAGGAGUCCACCAACACCUUCUAAGAAAUUAGAGUGUUUGGGUUUUG
rnacentral:ncRNA from 1 species